AUAUACAUGGCUUGCACGAGAGCAAGCACCAACAAAUAAGUAAAAGUUCUACAACUAUCAUCACAUUUAUACAUGUAUCUUGAUUACAUGAAAUCAAAUACAAGCAUAUAUUAAUUUACAUUCACUUUCCUAAAAACUUAUGCCAUUUACAUCAUUUAUACAUUUCCAUCUCAUUACACCUUUCAUCAUAACCAAAAGAUGAAUAUACAUA
rnacentral:lncRNA from 1 species